AUUGAACGCUGGCGGCAGGCCUAACACAUGCAAGUCGAGCGGAUGAAGGGAGCUUGCUCCUGGAUUCAGCGGCGGACGGGUGAGUAAUGCCUACGAAUCUGCCUUGUCGUGGGGGAUAACGUCCGGAAACGGGCGCUAAUACCGCAUACGUCCUGAUGGUGAAAGUGGGGGAUCUUUGGACCUCAAGCUAUCAGAUGAGCCUAGGUCGGAUUAGCUAGUUGGUGGGGUAAAGGCCUACCAAGGCGACGAUCCGUAACUGGUCUGAGAGGAUGAUCAGUCACACUGGAACUGAGACACGGUCCAGACUCCUACGGGAGGCAGCAGUGGGGAAUAUUGGACAAUGGGCGAAAGCCUGAUCCAGCCAUGCCGCGUGUGUGAAGAAGGUCUUCGGAUUGUAAAGCUCUGUUAGUUGGGAGGAAGGGCAGUAAGUUAAUACCUUGCUGUUUUGACGGUACCAACAGAAUAAGCACCGGCUAACUUCGUG
rnacentral:rRNA from 1 species